GGCACCGCGGGCCCAGGCGGCCCGGAUGGCGGUCGCGGCGGCAGGGGCAGGGGCUGGGGCCGGCGCGGCCGCCACUGACGGGUAGUCCGGCGCCCACAGCAGACCGUGCACUGCUGCAGGGCGCCCCGGAUGCGGUGGAGCUGCGCGAGCUGACGCCCUGGGCUGGGCGACCCCCAGGUCCGCGCCGUCGGGCGGGGCCCCGGCGGCGGCGCG
rnacentral:lncRNA from 1 species